GAAAAGCAAGACUCAACAGAAGUUAAUGUAGUGGAAAGACCUCAGUUUAUUUAACAACCAGGAGGAAUGGAUUAACCGGGCGAGAUGGACCUAUCCGAAGAACGAAGAAGCUGGACUGGCUGUGAGUCCGGCGGAGCAGCCAGUGGGGAAGGAGGAACACACUGCAAGAGCACUGCUGCUGAGAUUAAAACCUGAUGGAGGGUGUCUGAGCAAUGCAUGUGUGUUGAGAGGAGUGGAGGCCAGACGCACAUACGACACCAUCACCAGUGAGAAAGAUCAAGUACGUUCAUCAUGUGGCCUGAAGAUGGAUGUGACGAGUCCCAGUUACUAGGGUUUGUUAGGGGGAUUAAAGUAUAGUUCCGGUUAAUUUCAUGUAAUGGAGGUUCCUUUGGCCUGAGAGUAGACUAAGAACCAGAUUAAACUGAAAUGUAGGGCUUGGUUAUCAAU